AACUUCACCAAAAUCCGAGAACCACAAGAGAUCGACAACACCAUCAACCAAAUCACGUGAGAAUCUUCAAAGCAAUCAAACCAAGAAGGAGGAUACAACAUAAACCAAUCACUGGCCACCAACUGCUCGAUGAAAGCACUGACACAAUCCAAACCAUAUGAAACCCACGUAAUCGGAAUGUAGAAAAGUUUUCGAAAAUGCUAAAAGAACCCAUGCCACAUACUCCCUAUCCUCCCGAAUCGAAAAACACAAGUCCUGACAACUGAAAACCCACAACCAGACCAAAUAGACGACGCAACCAUAAUCCCACCAGCUCCAAAAACCAAAAGCCGAAGCUCAACGUGAAAACACCAACAUUCUAUCUAAAAACAGCAUGGUAAUGAUGAAUAAUAAUCCAAACAAAUCGGCAAACACCAUAGAACCCCUCAAUCAGUAAAUCCCAGUCAAACUGAAUCUACAACAAAUCAUCGAAAAAACUGAGGGGAGCCAGAAAACCAUGCACGAACAAUCGAAGAUCGACCAAAAUCCACCAACAUCUAACUGAAAGACCUUCUUCCUGCUACCAAAAUAACAAAUAAACACAAACCUCCAACGAGCACCACCCCAAAAAAUACAAGGCAAAACCCAAAUUAUAUGUUGCCACCAUCCUUCUUCCAUGUCAUGACUAACCAAAAUAUCUGCUACAGCAUGACCUUCCCGAUAAAUAUGCAAAACCCUCAACUCAGUGUCACGUAAAAGCUUUAAAAUUUUCUCCAAGUAGCCACAAACUGCCAUGGGACCACGGUCCAACGACUCAAGCAAACGAACCACAUAACUAGAAUUAGCUUCUAUCCAAAGAUUCACCCAACGUGCGCAAUCUUAGCAUAUCUGACGAAUAAUACAACACAAACAAAUCAUUAAUAUGAAAUUCAUGAUUAUACAGAUAGGCCUGUACGGGUGUACUCACAAUAUGAGUUUUUAAAUUUGCUCUUCAAUAUAAUUAAGAAAUUUUUAUUAAAGCUCCAUGUAAAGAACUACCUUUCUUAUACGAGAAUAAC
rnacentral:lncRNA from 1 species